rnacentral:rRNA from 1 species
AUUGAACGCUGGCGGCAGGCCUAACACAUGCAAGUCGAGCGGAUGAAGGGAGCUUGCUCCUGGAUUCAGCGGCGGACGGGUGAGUAAUGCCUAGGAAUCUGCCUGGUAGUGGGGGAUAACGUCCGGAAACGGGCGCUAAUACCGCAUACGUCCUGAGGGAGAAAGUGGGGGAUCUUCGGGCCUCACGCUAUCAGAUGAGCCUAGGUCGGAUUAGCUAGUUGGUGGGGUAAAGGCCUACCAAGGCGACGAUCCGUAACUGGUCUGAGAGGAUGAUCAGUCACACUGGAACUGAGACACGGUCCAGACUCCUACGGGAGGCAGCAGUGGGGAAUAUUGGACAAUGGGCGAAAGCCUGAUCCGGCCAUGCCGCGUGUGUGAAGAAGGUCUUCGGAUUGUAAAGCACUUUAAGUUGGGAGGAAGGGCAGUAAGUUAAUACCUUGCUGUUUUGACGUUACCAACAGAAUAAGCACCGGCUAACUUCGUG